GAUUCGCUGAGUUGACUCAGUGGGAACCUUCUCUAAGUUGACUUAGUGUAAAAUUAGUAUUUUUCUCACGCAGCCAAACUACUAAAGCAAAUUCCAACAUGACAACUUUAGAUCUUAGGAAGUGCAUAGUAAAGAUUAAAAGAUCAAGGGUAUGACUUAAACCCCUAAAAAUAAAUAGGGAUUGAUUGAUUAGCACACUCAAGUAUAGCUUCUACCUCGCCUAAACUAAAUUUUUAGAGUGAAUCCUCUAAAAACUCUAGAAUUAUAUACUCGAGAGCUAUAGAUC
rnacentral:lncRNA from 1 species